rnacentral:rRNA from 1 species
AACGAACGCUGGCGGCAUGCCUAACACAUGCAAGUCGAACGAGACCUUCGGGUCUAGUGGCGCACGGGUGCGUAACGCGUGGGAAUCUGCCCUUGGGUUCGGGAUAACAGUUGGAAACGACUGCUAAUACCGGAUGAUGACUUCGGUCCAAAGAUUUAUCGCCCAGGGAUGAGCCCGCGUCGGAUUAGCUAGUUGGUGAGGUAAGAGCUCACCAAGGCGACGAUCCGUAGCUGGUCUGAGAGGAUGAUCAGCCACACUGGGACUGAGACACGGCCCAGACUCCUACGGGAGGCAGCAGUGGGGAAUAUUGGACAAUGGGCGAAAGCCUGAUCCAGCAAUGCCGCGUGAGUGAUGAAGGCCUUAGGGUUGUAAAGCUCUUUUACCCGGGAUGAUAAUGACAGUACCGGGAGAAUAAGCCCCGGCAAACUCCGU